GACUCUCGGCAACGGAUAUCUCGGCUCUCGCAUCGAUGAAGAACGUAGCGAAAUGCGAUACUUGGUGUGAAUUGCAGAAUCCCGUGAACCAUCGAGUCUUUGAACGCAAGUUGCGCCCGAAGCCACUAGGCCGAGGGCACGCCUGCCUGGGCGUCACGC
rnacentral:rRNA from 1 species